rnacentral:lncRNA from 1 species
GAAUCUUUCUCAAGGCUUUUACUGGGAUUUUAUAUUUCACCGUCAAUGGCUAAGAGAUUUCAGGAAACGUGAGGUCACUGAGCUGGACAAAAUGUGCAUGUCUUUGUGCUUUGUAUAUGAGGCCAACUUGGAGUACAGAUUUCAGGAUAAAAAGAUCUUAGAUCAGAAGACAUUUAAUAAACAGGACUAACGUUCAUGCUACACUCAAUGAGGAUAACGAGGAACGCUCUGCUAUGGUUUCAGGAAUCUUACGGCCAUUUCAAUUGCAGUUCCUUGAAAGUUUUGAUAAAGAAGGUCUGCCCAGUAUUGUAAGACCCUGAUCAUCGGCUACCAGAGGUGAACCUGAUACUGUGCCUUUGUCAGGAAAAUCCUGGUAACAGUAACUAAGGUUAUCUUCACAACUCCCCUGCAAAGCAGAACAUAUUAUCCCCAUUUUACCCAGAGUGGUUAAGUAACAUCACCCGUGGUAAUAGCUAAAUUUCCUAGAUGGAGCUAGAAUUUGAACUCAGGCGUCCAGCUCCAGAGUCU